AUGAGAGGAUCUGAGGUGGAUAUUCAGGUCAGGAAGCUCUACUGCAACAACAGGGCUGACCCGAAGCUACCAAUCAGCAUGGAGGACGCCGGACGGAGUGCUAAGGAGUUUGCAAUAGCUGAAUCAAAGGGAGUGCCACUUGUCCAUGUUGGUCAGGACACACACUUGGACUAUCGAGUUAUUGAUGUCCGAACACUGGCAAAUCAAGUCAUUUUCCGUAUACAACAUCAAGUUGAAAACAUUGGUGAAAGCAACACCAUCGGCGUUCGUCGCCUUCAUCCUGGACCUCCCCAUGUUGUCUCUGUACUGCCCAACGGUACAUCAUAUGCUUCUCCUCCAUUGUCGAUUGUUCACUAG
rnacentral:rRNA from 1 species